rnacentral:rRNA from 1 species
AUUGAACGCUGGCGGCAUGCUUUACACAUGCAAGUCGAACGGUAACAGCACUUCGGUGGCUGACGAGUGGCGAACGGGUGAGUAAUACAUCGGAACGUGCCUAGUAGUGGGGGAUAACUACUCAAAAGAGUAGCUAAUACCGCAUGAGAUCUAAGGAUGAAAGCAGGGGACCUUCGGGCCUUGCGCUACUAGAGCGGCUGAUGGCAGAUUAGGUAGUUGGUGGGAUAAAAGCUUACCAAGCCGACGAUCUGUAGCUGGUCUGAGAGGACGACCAGCCACACUGGGACUGAGACACGGCCCAGACUCCUACGGGAGGCAGCAGUGGGGAAUUUUGGACAAUGGGCGCAAGCCUGAUCCAGCAAUGCCGCGUGCAGGAUGAAGGCCUUCGGGUUGUAAACUGCUUUUGUACGGAACGAAAAGCCCUCUUCUAAUACAGGAGGGUCAUGACGGUACCGUAAGAAUAAGCACCGGCUAACUACGUG